rnacentral:rRNA from 1 species
ACGGGAGGCAGCAGUGGGGAAUAUUGCACAAUGGGGGAAACCCUGAUGCAGCAACGCCACGUGUGGGAAGAAGCAUUUCGGUGUGUAAACCACUGUCGUGAGGGAAUAAUGCUUGGUCUCGGCCAAGUUGAAUGUACCUCGAAAGGAAGCACCGGCAAACUUCGUGCCAGCAGCCGCGGUAAUACGAGGGGUGCAAGCGUUGUUCGGAAUCACUGGGCGUAAAGGGAGCGCAGGCGGAGAUGCAAGCAGUCUGUACAAUCCCGGGGCCCAACCCCGGACCUGCAGACUGGACUGUUUCGCUUGGAUAGGUCAGGGGCAAGCGGAAUUCCUGGUGUAGCGGUGGAAUGCGUAGAGAUCAGGAAGAACACCGAUGGCGAAGGCAGCUUGCUGGGGACUUAUCGACGCUCAUGCUCGAAAGUGCGGGUAGCAAACAGGAUUAGAUACCCUGGUA